rnacentral:tRNA from 4 species
UGGGAGGUCGUUCAACGGUAGGACACCGCGCUCUGGACGCGGUUAUCGGGGUUCGAAUCCCUGCCUCCCAGCCA